UCCCUGGUUGCUCAGAUGGUAAAGAAUCUGCCUGCAAGGCAGGUGACCCAGGUUCAAUCCCUGGGUUGGGAA
rfam:Ovis aries breed Texel chromosome 18, whole genome shotgun sequence.